rnacentral:rRNA from 1 species
GACGAACCACACAAACGUUAUUCGGAAUUACUGGGCUUAAAGCGUGCGUAGGUGGCUUGUUAAGUCGGAUGUGAAAGCCCUGGGCUUAACCUGGGAACUGCAUCCGAUACUGGUGAGCUUGGAGUUUGGAAGAGGGUGGUGGAAUUCCCGGUGUAGCGGUGAAAUGCGUAGAGAUCGGGAGGAACAUCAGUGGCGAAGGCGGCCACCUGGUCCAAAACUGACGCUGAUGCACGAAAGCGUGGGGAGCAAACAGG